AAUAAAGUGCCUGAUUAAAGGAUUAUUCUGAUAGGAUAAAUUAAGUAAUUCCCAUUACCUUUAUUA
rnacentral:tRNA from 1 species